rnacentral:rRNA from 1 species
GAUGAACGCUGGCUACAGGCUUAACACAUGCAAGUCGAGGGGAAACGGCAUUUGGUGCUUGCACCGAAUGGACGUCGACCGGCGCACGGGUGAGUAACGCGUAUCCAACCUUCCCGUUACUGCGGGAUAACCUGCCGAAAGGCAGACUAAUACCGCAUGUUCUUCGAUGACGGCAUCAGAUUCGAAGCAAAGAUCCGUCGGUAACGGAGGGGGAUGCGUCUGAUUAGCUAGUUGGCGGGGCGACGGCCCACCAAGGCGACGAUCAGUAGGGGUUCUGAGAGGAAGGUCCCCCACAUUGGAACUGAGACAUGGUCCAAACUCCUACGGGAGGCAGCAGUGAGGAAUAUUGGUCAAUGGGCGGAAGCCUGAACCAGCCAAGUAGCGUGCAGGAUGACGGCCCUACGGGUUGUAAACUGCUUUUAUGCGGGGAUAAAGUGAGGGACGCGUCCCUUUUGCAGGUACC